AUUUGGGCCCCCAGGGAAUGCCUUGUGACUUAGCAGAACAGCUGCAGGGGCUGUGGUGUCUGGGGCCACCUGCUCGUGCCCUGUCCCAGCAGCUUUGACAAGAACUGUUUUUAGAAGAGCUUGCUCAUGGAAGGUUUGGGGCCCAUUUCCAGACCUCUGCUUUAAAUGGGUGCCAGGCUUAUUUUGCCAGUAAUCUGGCAUGUUUGUGGGCUCAGGGGCAGGACACAAAGCUUUUGCUCUAAGAUCCAGCUUUUCGACCGGAUUCCUCAUGGUGGCCGUGCCUUCAGCAUCCGUACCAGCAGAAACUUCAUCAGUCCCUUCCAGUCAGCGGAACCUACCUGGAGUUCAAGGCUGCUGUGGUUCCCAGCGUGGGAGGUGGCCCCGCAGCACCAGGCAGGGCUCCUCGAUGUUCCCGAGCUCACCCAGCUGAUGUCCUGCCUGCCGGGAUGGACACGAGGAAUUACUCCCUCAGUGGAAGAGGCUGAGAGCUCGUGAGCCCCUCUCCGUGAAGGGAAUCAGUUUGCUGAAGGCUGAAAUCAUGAGGAAAGUGGGAAGUGGAUUGGGUAAGUGGCUUUGUGAGCGAUCAGAUGUUUGGUGGUUUUGAGGGGNGGGGAUCUCAGCAGUGCUUGCCGGGGGCAGCUCAGCCUGUGCUGGAGGUGGCAGCCUGCUGGGGCUCUGCAGGUGGGAACAGUCAAAUUAAUUAGUGCAGCCCGUAAUUGGGUGGCCUGAUACCUUCAGGGCAGAGUCCCUGUGGGAUGAGCUCGGCCUGGUCAGUGAUGAUGCCUUUGUUGGGAGACUGCUGGAUGAGUCCUGCGGAUAUGGGGCUGAGGCCAGGCUCCAGCAGGAGCUGACCCCCUGUGCGCUGUGUCAGGCUGAGCUUCCUUCUGACCGGGCUUUUUCUUCCCUCCGCAGGUUUUUUUGGAGCCGAGCGAGGUUUCGGUGUCUCAGACUUCAGCAUCCUGCUCCUGAAGCUGCUGCAGUUGUGUGUGAUGGGAUCCCAGCUCCUCAGUGAGCCGUGAGCUCCCCCAGCUGGGGCAGCUGCUGCCCUGCACCCGGCGCUGAGCACUGCAGGCCGUGGGAACCUUGUGGGUUCCAUUGCUGCUGAAGCUGCUGUUCGUGUGCUCCCUGUGGAAGAACGAUCCCUUCCAGGGAGUUUUUGCAGAAAAAGAUCUCUGGGGGGAGGGUCUGGAAUAUUUGAAAUACGUAAAAUAAGUGAGUAGUUUAGACUGUGUGGAAUACUGGGAGGUGAUUAAAGGUGGUCACCCAAAGCUCCUGCUGUGUCUGUG
rnacentral:lncRNA from 1 species